GACGAACGCUGGCGGCGUGCCUAAUACAUGCAAGUCGAGCGAAUUUAUGGGAGCUUGCUCCCGUAAAUUAGCGGCGGACGGGUGAGUAACACGUGGGCAACCUGCCUAUAAGACUGGGAUAACUUCGGGAAACCGGAGCUAAUACCGGAUAAUUCCUUUCCUCACAUGGGGGAAGGCUGAAAGAUGGUUUACGCUAUCACUUAUAGAUGGGCCCGCGGCGCAUUAGCUAGUUGGUGAGGAACGGCUCACCAAGGCAACGAUGCGUAGCCGACCUGAGAGGGUGAUCGGCCACACUGGGACUGAGACACGGCCCAGACUCCUACGGGAGCAGCAGUGGGAAUAUGGACAAUGGCGCAAGCCUGAUCCAGCGAUGCCGCGUGUGUGAAGAA
rnacentral:rRNA from 1 species